AUUGAACGCUGGCGGCAGGCUUAACACAUGCAAGUCGAGCGGUGAAAGGUAGCUUGCUACCUGACCUAGCGGCGGACGGGUGAGUAAUGCUUAGGAAUCUGCCUAUUAGUGGGGGACAACAUUCCGAAAGGAAUGCUAAUACCGCAUACGCCCUACGGGGGAAAGCAGGGGAUCUUCGGACCUUGCGCUAAUAGAUGAGCCUAAGUCAGAUUAGCUAGUUGGUGGGGUAAAGGCCUACCAAGGCGACGAUCUGUAGCGGGUCUGAGAGGAUGAUCCGCCACACUGGGACUGAGACACGGCCCAGACUCCUACGGGAGGCAGCAGUGGGGAAUAUUGGACAAUGGGCGAAAGCCUGAUCCAGCCAUGCCGCGUGUGUGAAGAAGGCCUUUUGGUUGUAAAGCACUUUAAGCGAGGAGGAGGCUACUUGGAUUAAUACUCUAGGAUAGUGGACGUUACUCGCAGAAUAAGCACCGGCUAACUCUGUGCCAGCAGCCGCGGUAA
rnacentral:rRNA from 1 species